CUCACAAAUUCUUUUAAUCAUGCUGAGAUGCACGAACAUCCUCACCUUGAUUCACUUCCUCUGACUUCUAAUACAUUUUUCUCUCAUUUAUAGAUCUUCUCUAAGAUUGGAGUAGUACUAUGGUUUCAUCUAAUUGAUCAAUUGAAGUUUGGAGAGCUAGUAAUAGAUGGCCAACUUUCAUUUACCAAUGGGGAUUAUUAUUAAUACCUUCAACUACAUAUUCCCAAUGGAAAAAAAACCCAGAUGAACUUGGUUCAGCCAGAAGUAUGCCCAUCAACAGGACAUGAACUAGAUAACACGUCUAAGGUGGAGACAGAGGAACACCACUUUAUUACUGCCAGGCAGAUAUAGAAGUCCUGUUUCCCAACUCUGUUUCCAUCAGACCCAAAGGGAGGUGCUUGUUGCUGCUGGGAG